rnacentral:rRNA from 1 species
UUUGUAGAAUGAACCGGCGAGUUACGAUUUGUUGCAAGGUUAAGCGGAAAAAGCGGAGCCGUAGCGAAAGCGAGUCUGAAUAGGGCGCAUAAGUAACAGGUCGUAGACCCGAAACCAGGUGAUCUACCCAUGUCCAGGAUGAAGGUAAGGUAAUACUUACUGGAGGUCCGAACCCACGCACGUUGAAAAGUGCGGGGAUGAGGUGUGGGUAGCGGAGAAAUUCCAAUCGAACUUGGAGAUAGCUGGUUCUCUCCGAAAUAGCUUUAGGGCUAGCCUCGAGGUAAAGAGUCAUGGAGGUAGAGCACUGUUUGGACUAGGGGCCCUUCUCGGGUUACCGAAUUCAGAUAAACUCCGAAUGCCAUGUACUUAUACUCGGGAGUCAGACUGCGAGUGAUAAGAUCCGUAGUCGAAAGGGAAACAGCCCAGACCACCAGUUAAGGUCCCCAAAUAUAUGUUAAGUGGAAAAGGAUGUGGGGUUGCUUAGACAACCAGGAUGUUGGCUUAGAAGCAGCCACCAUUGAAAGAGUGCGUAAUAGCUCACUGGUCGAGUGACCCCGCGCCGAAAAUGUACCGGGGCUAAACAUAUUACCGAAACUGUGGAUGAACCUCUUUAGAGGUUCGUGGUAGGAGA